rnacentral:rRNA from 1 species
UACUUGGAUGGGAGACCACCUGGGAA